CAGGUGGUUUCUUAAGUCUGAUGUGAAAGCCCACGGCUCAACCGUGGAAGGUCAUUGGAAACUGGGGAACUUGAAUGCAGAAGAGGAGAGUGGAAUUCCAUGUGUAGCGGUGAAAUGCGUAGAUAUAUGGAGGAACACCAGUGGCGAAGGCGACUCUCUGGUCUGUUAUUGACACUGAGGCUCGAAAGCGUGGGGAGCAAACAGGAUUAGAUACCCUGGUAGUCCACGCCGUAAACGAUGAGUGCUAAGUGUUGGAGGGCUUCCNCCCUUCAGUGCUGCAGUUAACGCAUUAANCACUCCNCCUGGGGAGUACGGCCCCANGCUNAAACUCAAAGNAUUGGCGGGGACCCCCCACANCGGG
rnacentral:rRNA from 1 species